rnacentral:rRNA from 1 species
AUUGAACGCUGGCGGCAUGCCUAACACAUGCAAGUCGAACGGCAGCACAGCAGUAGCAAUACUGUGGGUGGCGAGUGGCGGACGGGUGAGGAAUACGUCGGAAUCUGCCCAGUCGUGGGGGAUAACUAGCCGAAAGGUUAGCUAAUACCGCAUACGACCGAGAGGUGAAAGCGGGGGGACCGCAAGGCCUCGCGCGAUUGGAUGAGCCGACGUCGGAUUAGCUAGUUGGCGGGGUAAAGGCCCACCAAGGCGACGAUCCGUAGCUGGUCUGAGAGGAUGAUCAGCCACACUGGAACUGAGACACGGUCCAGACUCCUACGGGAGGCAGCAGUGGGGAAUAUUGGACAAUGGGCGCAAGCCUGAUCCAGCAAUGCCGCGUGUGUGAAGAAGGCCUC